CAGCAGCCGCGGUAAUACGUAGGUGGCAAGCGUUGUCCGGAAUUAUUGGGCGUAAAGGGCUCGCAGGCGGUUUCUUAAGUCUGAUGUGAAAGCCCCCGGCUCAACCGGGGAGGGUCAUUGGAAACUGGGAAACUUGAGUGCAGAAGAGGAGAGCGGAAUUCCACGUGUAGCGGUGAAAUGCGUAGAGAUGUGGAGGAACACCGGUGGCGAAGGCGGCAACCUGGUCCAUAAUUGACGCUGAGGCGCGAAAGCGUGGGGAGCAAACAGGAUUAGAUACCCGCGUAGUCCCUGUCUCUUAUAC
rnacentral:rRNA from 1 species